CCCAAAGUGCUGGGAUUACAGGCAUGAGCCACCGCGUCCAGCCAGGUUUGUGUUUUAUAGGAAGAAUAAAUUUCCAUUUUAAAUGAAACAAUUCUACUUUUUUCUUGUGAAAUAAUGUUGAAGUAUAGAUAAAAUAUAUCAAUUGUAUGAAGAUCAUUUAAAGAAAAUCACAUGUAUAUUGAAAAAGAUUUUAAUUUUUUUUUCUUGGAAAUAGUGAUCUAUUGUUUUAAUGGAAAAAGGAAGUGUAGUUUUUAAAUGUUCUUUAAUAUUGAUUUACAGAAGCUUAACAUUACCUUUUUAAAUACCACAGGUACAGUAAAAUUUAAUGGGAAAGCUAAUUUUUAAUAGUUUGAUAAUGUGUAUAUAUUUUAUAUAUAUAUAGGUUUUACCUUGCAUUCGCAUUUUAAGAGAACAAGCUUAUUUUAUGAUUAACAGAAUCAUUAAAAAUUUUUUAUUGUAAGCUUGCCAGAGUCCUAGAUUUAAAAAGUUAUACUCACACCACAUAUAGUCUAAUGACGACAAUAAGGAUAAAGAAAUACUGAACUUUUUUAAGUAGGCUUAUGUCGGUAGGGAUAUUGAUGACAUUCUGAAACUAUUUUGUGUUUAUUUAGGAGAGAGUAAAUGAGCAACUAAGUGAAUUGAUGUGUUGGACACCAACAUUUUCACUGUGGAAGGAGACAUAAAUAUGAGGAAUGUGAGUUGUAUCAGCUGAAGAGCGUAGAAGCUGUGCCAUCCCAGCCAUUAUGAGCAUCUCUCAUGCCCAGAUCUUCGUUUCUGAAUUUCUCUUUCCACUAGAAGAAACCAUGAGAGAAAUGGCGAGCCUGAGAUCCUUUAUUGCACCAAAAGCAAGGAAGUAUGGAAGGAGAGCUGAGGGCUUGCCAGGACAUUGGCUGACAUGGUCUCUCACUGGUCAAACUUGGGAUGGUUGGAACAUCAAUAAAGAAUAUUAAUGAUCA